rnacentral:rRNA from 1 species
CGCGAAUCGCCCUUCGGGGCGCACCAGGCGCGAAUACUUUACAAUGCUUGAAACCGUGAUUAGGGGACACCUAGUGCCAGCAUCUUAUGUCUGGCUGUCAGGGUGUGUAAAAUACUGCCUGUAACCUAGGGACGGUCAAUUACCGGUGUCAACUACCCCGGUAUCUCAGCCGGUCCGAGUGCCGAUCUUGAUUAUUGUGUCUAAAGGGUCCUUAUCCGGUUUGGUCAUUCCUCCGGGAAAUCUGAUAGCUCAUCUAUUAUGCUUUCCGGGGAUACUGCCUAACUUGGAACCGGGAGAGGUAAGAGGUACUACAGGGGUAGGAAUGAAAUCUUGUAUUCCCUGUGGGAUCUCCUGUGACAAAUGCGUCUUACCAUAACGGGUUCUACGGUCAGGGACUAAAGCUGGGGGCUCGAACCGGAUUAGAUACCCGGGUAGUCGCAGCCGUAAUUGAUGCUCCCUAGGUGUCAGGUAUGUUUCAACCGUGUCUGGUGCCGCAGGGAUACCGUGAAGCUAGCCAUUUGGUUAUUACGGUUGCAAGGCUGAUACUUAUUUGAAUUGUGGGGGGACCAC